GCCCUGAAGUCCCUCAAGCCCCUGCGUUCCGGGUGGCCCUGCCUGCGGGGGGGCGGGGGCAGAUCCCAGAAUCGUGGCCAUCGGGGUGGUGCUGCGCUGUGCAGAGCCCCCUGCACACCCCCUGCACCAAACAGGAGCUGCCCCAGGAACAUUGGAAUUAUUGGAUUCCUUACAAGCAGCUGUAAAAAGGUACUCAAGCACAUCUAAUACAGCUAUUGAAAAACUGAAAACCACCCUGGAAACAAACAACGAUAGAGCUGCAAGACGAAGAAAGCACUUCUUCUGAUGUGAUCUGUCUUGACUCUCUUGAAGAAAUAAUGCCUGCUACACCCUCAA